GCUACAUUUGUAGUACAAUUAUUUAUGGAUCUCAGAAAGGCUGAUCCUGAAGUCCCUUUCUUACAAGUGCAGUGUUAUCCCCAGAAGAUAGCAUCCCAUUUGGCGUAAAAAAAAAUUAACUGUGUCAUUUGUCGCGUCUCAGCGAUGCUCUAUUUCCAUUGAUUUCCUUUAUGUUAUACAUGUAUAUGUUUAUAUUGUUCAAUUCAUUACUGAGAAUACAAUUAGACUAAUCACUAAUACCAUGAAUACAGUUGUUUCAGUUUGUUUUAUUUAUUCAUUUAUAGUUACAGAAU
rnacentral:lncRNA from 1 species